UCAACAAAUUCUUAUCAUCAUUUGUUUUUUCAUGUUUUGAAGACUUUCAGUUUCACAUUUGUGCAUUUUCCCGGAGAAUGCUUAUAUUCUUACAUCAUCGUACAAUGACAUUAUUUACACAGUCUGACCUUGGGUAACUCAAUUUAUAAAGGCAAACGAGGUGGGAGUAAGAUUGGAACAGCAAACAAUCCAUGACGUAAACUAUCAGCUUACAUAUCAAUAUAUAUUCAUAUUUUACCAUGGGUGUGUACUAAAAGUGUUUGAAAAACAUCAUAUUAGAUUUUAAAUUAUACAAGAGAUCAACAUAAGUUCUUCUGUAAUAGUCAACAUAAGGUCUUCUGUAAUAGUCCAAGAGAUCAACAUAAGGUCUUCUGUUAUAGUCCAAGAGAUCAACAUAAGGUCUUCUGUAAUAGUCAACAUAAGGUCUUCUGUAAUAGUCAACAUAAGGUCUUCUGUAAUAGUCAACAUAAGGUCUUCUGUAAUAGUCAACAUAAGGUCUUCUGUAAUAGUCAACAUAUGGUCUUCUGUAAUAGUCAACAUAAGGUCUUCUGUAAUAGUCAACAUAAGGUCUUCUGUAAUAGUCAACAUAAGGUCUUCUGUAAUAGUCAACAUAAGGUCUUCUGUAAUAGUCAACAUAAGGUCUUCUGUAAUAGUCAACAUAAGGUCUUCUGUAAUAGUCAAC